GAAAUCUUCAAAGUAAACCUUUUGUUAACUCAACUGGUUCCUUACUUUGGUAUUGGAGGUCUUUGCAGCUUCACACCUGCUCCUCUUUGUUCAUUAGCUGGAUCUCAGUGUUAUGCUUGGUUCCACUCAGCGUGAUAAGUAUCUAUCGCUGAGGACACCCGUAAAAAAGGUGGCCAAGGUAAAUGCAGAUGAACCGCUUCUAACAGUCCAUUGACUUGGACAAUAAAUAUUUAUGAUCUGAUCUCAAAUCAGGUAGGACUACCCGCUGAACUUAA
rnacentral:misc_RNA from 1 species